rnacentral:rRNA from 1 species
UAGCGUAUAUUAAAGUUGUUGCAGUUAGAACGCUCGUAGUCGGAUUUCGGGGCGGGCCGACCGGUCUGCCGAUGGGUAUGCACUGGUCGGCGCGUCCUUCCUUCCGGAGACCGUCCCUACUCUUAACUGAGCGGGGGCGGGAGACGGGACUUUUACUUUGAAAAAAUCAGAGUGUUUCAAGCAGGCAGCUCGCUCUUGCAUGGAUUAGCAUGGGAUAAUGAAAUAGGACUUUGGUGCUAUUUUGUUGGUUUCGAACACCGAAGUAAUGAUUAACAGGGACAGUCAGGGGCACUCGUAUUCCGCCGAGAGAGGUGAAAUUCUCAGACCAGCGGAAGACGAACUACUGCGAAAGCAUUUG